AAGUCGUAACAAGGUUUCCGUAGGUGAACCUGCGGAAGGAUCAUUGCAAAAUGAAUUAGUGAGAUUUGUUGGAAUGUGAGGAUAAAAUGUGUUCGACAAUCAUUAUUACAAUUUUAUAUACAACUCUCCACAAUGGAUCUCUGGGCUCUU
rnacentral:misc_RNA from 1 species